rnacentral:lncRNA from 13 species
CACCAGGAAUCACAAGAGGAACCUACACUGGCUGACCCAAAACAAUGCAUGAAAACAGCCGAGGUUGCUGUGAAAGAGCAAGCCGGGGGAUGAGUGCCAGUUCAGCUGCUUUAUUGCAGCUUUGCACCUGCACAGAGCAGAGUAGGGCAGCUGCAGACAGGGUGCAUCUGUGCAUGUGAGGUCAAGGUCAGUGAUCCUUGUUCGCAUGAAUCAUUCUCAGUGCUAAUGAAAAACACCCCUGAUGCAGCGUGUUCGAACACCAACAGCUUCGGCAGACUUCUGGCACUCCUGGCUCACUUCUACGAGCCAGAAUUCACAGGUGAGGCAGAACGCCUGGGUUGGGGGGGCAUUCAGGGCUCGGGAUGGACGAGAGCUUAACAGGGGCUGUUGGUGGAGAUUGGCAUGGAAAAGAAGGAGGAUAAUUUUUGACUGGAGGAAAAAACAGUGCUGCCGUGGGCCAGCUAUGGUUCCUUUACACCUUGGCUGUUUGAGUUUCAAAGCUGAAGAGUCUUUCAAAAUGAAAAAUUAAUUUAAAAAGCGCAACCUGGUUCUGAGUUAGUUUCCAAAUAAUUAAGUUUUAAAGUUAUGAUAACAAAUCCUAAUUAUCUUUCUCCACAAGUUUCUUGAAGUCAAGGAAACAGAGAUGGAACAUAGUGGCACAUGAAGAAGGGUUUAUUUUUCUUCCUCCCCCUCCUCCCCUUUCAAUCAGUGCAAAUUUUGCAUACAUUUUCUCUGCAUUUCACUGUCCAGAUAGAAAGAAGGAUACAUUUUGUGGAAGUGCUGAUGACGUAUAGAUAGAUGUGUGCAAAAAAUUAUAACUCAACCAUAGAAUAACUUUUCAAGGCUGCUGCAGUGACUACGAUAAUUUGAUAUGCAAGUGGAUUUAUUACUAAGAUUACAAACAAAAGUUAUGCACGUCAUGUUUCUUGCUCUGCAGUAAUCCUUCUACAGAAAUUUUGGCGGCCCCUCGCCAAAGCCAGAGGAGGAACUCGAUGGCCGGACGAGUCCCCGGGACUGUAGAGAGGAAGAAGAGGGUGCUCCGCGGAGAAGAUAUGAAGAAGCCCUGGAGCCCCGAUUUACCAGUUGAUAGCCAGUCAUACAAUUCAGAUUUCACAUCUCUCCCAGACCAGGAAGGUGAGAAAGAAUUAGCACCUGAUGGCACUGAAGAAAAGAAGGAGAGAGAAAAGAAACACACCAAUUUCACUUUGUGUAAUGUUUGUAACAUUCAGCUAAACUCUGCUGCUCAGGCACAAAUCCACUACAAUGGCAAAUCCCAUCAGAAGAGGUUAAAACAGCUCAGCAAUGGAAAUCUCAAAAGUGAUAAUGGUAAGCAUUAUAAUAUAUAAACCUUUGCCAUAUUUUGAUCUGAGAAUUGCAGCACUGUGCAUUUUGUCGAUAUAUAUUAAUCUAAACUUUGUUUUAUUCAGACAACAAAUGCUUUGAAGUUAAAGCAAAGGCUCUUGGUGACUUCAGAGUGCUGGAGGUCAUCCCUAGCAUGAGCAUCUGGCAAAUAGCUAAACAUAUACCAUCUGUGUUAUUACCAGAGUUUUCAUUUUAUAUUUUGUUUACAUAAUGAUGUUGAUUCAGAUUCUUUCUCUUUUCAUUUGCAUUUUGAUGAUUUUCAGCAUAAUCAGUGAUAUUCUGUACUUCACAGUCUACUAGAAAGGUUAUCCUUGUUAGGGGCGUGUUUGCUUUUAAUGAAUGUAAGGUGGUUGUGAAAUAAAUUGAAACAAGUACAUUACACAGAAAUACGUUCCCAAACUCAUUUCACUUUAGCUUGCUUACUCCAGGUUCAAACCACAGCUAGCAUACGUUUGUUUAAAGGUCAUGGCUGAAGUCAAACAGAGGUGGAACAAAACUUAUUUUGGCUUUAAUUGUUUUCAUUGACAGUUUUGGGCAGAGCAUUUUGUAGUAGGUGACAUACUCUUUUAUAAUCAGAGUGAAUUGUGAUCCUCAAAGAAAAACACAUUUGUGGUUUUUUUUUGUACUAAGG